CGAGGUUAAGAGGAAAGGAAGAAGAAAGAAAGAAGUUUGAAAAGUUUUUGCACUGGUGUUCGGCACACGAUCCAUAAUGCAAAACCCACAAAAUCAACAAAAGGUCCAGAGAAGAACUACAAAAGGAGAGAAAGCGGAAAAAAGUUGAUGAGAGGGCAAAAUGUGAGACUCUGUGUGCUGAUGACCACACCUAUGCCAAAGGAGCCGAGGCACAAAUUGAGGUAGAAAGGAUACCGCCAAUCUUACAGAUGCGGAGGAGAGGAGAGUACCCUCGUUACUACUGUGAUGGCAUACCUGGACUUUGCCCUGAGUGCCAACAUCGAAUUCAAAGAAAAUAUAAGUUGCUUUCCACAAUCUGUCACAUAUUGUUAGUUUUUUUUGUGACAUGCCAUUUGAAAUCGUUUCUGAUAAAGAAUAUUUACCUUUUGA